rnacentral:rRNA from 1 species
UACGUAGGGGGCAAGCGUUAUCCGGAUUUACUGGGUGUAAAGGGAGCGUAGACGGCUUUGCAAGCCAGAUGUGAAAGCCCGGGGCUCAACCCCGGGACUGCAUUUGGAACUGUGUGGCUAGAGUGUCGGAGGGGCAGGCGGAAUUCCUAGUGUAGCGGUGAAAUGCGUAGAUAUUAGGAGGAACACCAGUGGCGAAGGCGGCCUGCUGGACGAUGACUGACGUUGAGGCUCGAAAGCGUGGGGAGCAAACAGG